CCUCUCAACAGUUCUCAGUAUCUGCGAAACCCUAUUUCCCGCCCAGGGCGACGCAAGGGCUUCGGCUAUUCUCUCCUCUCCGCCUACAUUUUCUUCUCCAAUUGUUGGUGUCCAACAAUGGCGGAAGAGGAGGUCGAGAUGGAAACGGAGAGCGAGGAGGCCUCGGCGGGAGCGAUCCCUUUCCAGCUCCAGUUCGACAAGCCCAUCCCCUUUCAGAUAAAAAUGUCGGUGUGGAAUCCAGAGAAGGAUCUGCUUGCUAUGGUCACUGAAGAUUCCAAGGUCCUCCUCCAUCGCUUCAACUGGCAAAGGCUUUGGACCAUAGUCCCAGGGAAAUGUAUUACGUCUCUUUGUUGGAGCCCAGAUGGUAAAGUCAUAGCUCUUGGUAUCGAAGAUGGUUCAAUUCUUCUACAUGAUGUGGAGAACGGGAGGUUAUUAAAAAGCAUCAAGUCUCAUGAUGCAGCUGUUGUCUGUAUGAAUUGGGAGGAAGACGUACUGGCAACAAUGCCGAGCGACGAUGACCACAUCUUAACAUAUGAAGAUCGCACUGUGCGUUUCUUUCCUCCUGCCCCAAGAAUUCCGAGGAUGCCUGGCUUGGUUUCAGGAGAUACUGACCUCAUGGAUGACUCAGAAGAUGCCAUUCACGAUCUAUCAGGUGCUCCGUGCCAACGAUUUAAUAUUCUUUGCAGCGGGGAUAAGAAUGGAUUCAUUUGCUUCAGUAUAUUUGGAAUAUUUCCAGUAGGGAAGAUUAAUAUUCAGCAGCUUCACCUUUGUACUAAAUUCUCAAGAAAGGAAACAACCUAUCAAUUGCUGAAUGCUUCUAUAAACAAGGUAUCUUUAUCAAAAAAUCUCUGCCAAUUGGUAGUACUCAGCUUUGGAGAGUUGGUUGAAUUUGGCAAAUCUUCUUGCUGUGAUGAUCUUUCCGUUGGCUUACACUGUGUACUCCUGGACACAUCAAUAUUUCAAAGCAGGAAAAAUGAGCUACAUCAGGUGGCCCAGCAGGCGUCAAGUAUUGAGGAUUUAAUUGAAGUUGUCCGGACUUCAAUAUCUGUAAUGUCCAAGCAAUGGUCUGACGCGAUGAAUUUAUUCCAUGAGAAAUUUGGUUCUUUAUCUGCUCUGAUUGUUGACCAUGGGCUAGAUUCCAGUCCUCAGGAUGAGUUUCUAAGUCUUUUAUUUGGGGCGCGCACUAGUCCGGCACUUCACCAGUUUUUAGUCAGUUCACUUGGUGAAGCGGGUCUGAAGCGUGUUUCCAGGGCUGUUGACAAUGCUGGAAAAGAACUUCGUGUUGUUCUGAAUGAACAUCUUCAGCCUGCUGUAGAAAUUGCUGGGUUCCGAAUUGGAGAGUUAAGAGGCCUUUCAAGAUGGCGUGCACGGUUUCAGAGUAUGGGACUGGAGGAAAAGCUUAUUGAUAACGUAACAGAAAAGGCUGGAAUGUUGCUUAUUCAGAUUGAACGUUUUUCAAGAGUCCUUGCAAUAGUUCUUUAUCAGUUCCAGAAUUUCUUCAACUGGGUUUUAAAAUGUAUAAAAAUUCUGUUGUCUGAGCCAACUGAUCAGGUUCAACCAACCAACAGUGAGCUUGUGGUCCUAUUUAUAAAGUUUCUUCUUGACAAUGAUCCGAUCAAAGAAUUAUUCGAAGUAAAUCAUCGAAUUGAUGUUGAUAUGGAGACGAAGCAGCAAGUUGAGCAGCUUGUAGUUUUGGGUGGAUUUACAGACAUGAAAUUUCUGGAGAGAACUUUAGCCUGUGAAUUUAAUCAACUGGAGCAAUGCUUAAAGGAAGCUUUCUUAAUGCCGUUCACUACUAUUUCAGCUAAGAUACUCUGCAGAGACUUGCUACCAGUCUAUUCUAUUUCAACUUCACCUGUAUCUCAACUACCUCCGACAUCAAUAUCCUACUACAAGUUACAGGAUGAGGUCAAUUGUGCUUUCCAGAGUUGUAUGCCUUUACAUAGUCUGGUGGACUACAUAUGCUUCAAAGUACCUGAUGAAUCAUUUGGUUUAACAAAUUGUAUUGGUAUUAUAAGGGGCUUUACUAGUAACUCGCGUUUCAUUAACAAGGAAGCGGCUUCUCCAGCAGCUGUCUUGUUACGCAUACCUGAUGAAUAUGAGUGUGUCGAUCUAUCCCUAUAUAAGGACAACCAGAUUAUUUUGUUACUUAAUGAAGCAUUCUCAAAUUCUGAAAGUCCUGGAAAAUCUUGGAUGGUGAUGAUACAAACUGGUGAUCUCUGUUUUCUGUCUCUUUCAAAUUUGGAGCACGACUUUUACAAGCUGCAUGACUUGAAGGCCUCCAUGGUAGACAUGCAUCUGGAAAAUGGAAAAAUUCGUUUUAUACCUCACUGUGUAACUAAACCCCUGGCAGUCAGUGCUUCGCGAGGCGUUGCAUGUGUCUUUUCAUCUCGGAGGCAUGCUUUAGUGUAUAUUCUCGAUGAAGAUGAGGAUGAAGUUUCUGAUAUGGAAUAAUCGGGGGUUUUGGGCAAGUAAGCUUAUAAAAUUGUUAAUUGUAACUAUAGGCGUCUGAAACCCUUUAUUUAUAAAAUUAGGCCAAAGCGGUGAAUGAUUCGCCACAUUUUCAUUCACCAUAUUUUGAAAGCGGUAAAUCAUUCCCCGCAUAUAUAUAAAUUAUAUAUAUAUAUAUAUUUUCCAAAUCUGAAUUCCAAAGGGUGUAUAUGGCUUUUAAAAGCUAUGAAUAUUUUACCCUUUCUAUGAGCACCACAAACAAUUUUAAUAUUUUGAAUUAAGCGGUGGACGAUUGCCAUAUUUAGAAAGUGGUGAUUGGUUUACAGCAUGGGCCUAAUUUUGUAAAUAAUUUUGUUGAAGAACUAUUUUUAUAAUUAUAAUAUUUUAUCAGCCUAUUUAAAAAAAAAAAAUCAAAUAAAUCUAAGAUAAUGUUAAGUUCUGUAUGCAGUUUUGGUUGCCAAAUCAGCAGCCUGUAUUAGUAAAAUUGGCUUCUGAUGCAUGCGGAGUUGUAUCUCAAAAUCCCCAAAGGAUGAUUCUGCCGCAUCUCUCACAUGACUCUGUUCUGUGGAAUCAUACAAUGGCUGAGAAAGGCCGAAUGGAGCUGUUGGCUAUCAAUUAUUUCUAGAGGGCUCUCAGAACAUUACUUCACCUGUUGGAUUGUUUGCAAACUUCUGUAAACGGCGCGUGUGAAGGGAUUCCACUAGCAGCCGUCUUGUAGGGAUGUGGAGUACUCGCUCAAAUGCAGCAUAUGAUGCAAUCUUUGGAUGCAGUUUUUUGCACAAAGGCAGGUCAACCUUUUUGCUUGUCACCUCUUGGUACAAGGAGGUAGACGAGUUAAAGGCAAUUCAUUUCACCAUGCAUUUUGCCUGUCGUGAGCCUCUCUACAGUGUUGUGGAAAUCCAAUCUUGUUUCGUUUGGCGUUGUGGUGGCGCAAGGCAUCUGCUUUCAUAUUUUAGAAGGUCCAAAAAAUUAUUAAACACUUUUAGUUUCUCCUUCUCUAAUAUUGUUGAGUUAUGAUGAAAAUUGGAAGUGCAUUUGGAUUUUCUGGAUCUUUCAAAACAUAGUAGCGGGUGUUGUUGAUAAUGCAAUCCCAAACAAGGGCUAAUAAAGGAUUUUUUUUUUAUGUAA